UAGAGAGACUGAACUGCUGCAGCUGGGAGCGACUGCAGGUGCUGAGUUGGAGGAUGUGAUACGACACAAUGACACUCUGUGGAGGAGAAGAACCACAUCACACUAACUCACAACUCACAUUAGACAUCUCUCAAUAAUCAUGAAUAUAUGAAAACUGAGUAUUUAUGAUUUUUUUUUCCAUCAAAUACAUUCACAACAGACAGAUUUAGGAUUAGAACUAUCAGUCUUUUCACACAAUAGUUUUUCUAUUUUUGUGAAAAAAAUCUUGAUUGCAGGUCUGAUAUAUCUGUCUUAGACCAAACCAAACCAAAUGAAACCUAGAUUAUUGUCAGAACCUUUUUUUUACUUUUAUUGUGAAAUUGCCAUAAAUGAAAGUGAAAAACAGUAAGAAUCAUUUUAGUUAAAAUUAAAAUAAAAUCAGUUGGUCAUGAGUGUGCACACCCCUAAACUAACACUUAGUUGUAGCACCUUUAGAUUUUAUAACUGCAUUCAAUCGUCUUAGGCAAGAGUCAAUAAACUUAGUGAUAAAUCUUUAUUUAGAGAUAUUUUGACCAUUCUUCAUUUAGAAAAGUAUUCUAACUCUCUCAGAUUAGCUGGACAUUUCCUGUGUACAGCCCUCGUCGGCUCAACCCAAUCCAGAUGAAGAAAAGCAGCCCCAAUGUAUAAUACCUAUGAUCCAUCACUCAAUAAUCAUCACACCACACUGAACACAGUCCUCCACGUUCACUACUGUAAGAUAAAUAGUUUUACAGUUUUAAAGAUUCUUGUUAUUCAUGAUAACUCAGACUGGAUGGAUAAUUUUUACAUUUGUUUCAGUGUCUAUCACUAAUCCUACCCUCAGUACAGUCUCUGAUUUUGAUCCUGUUAUUAAUCUGGUCUCAGUCUCUGGUUUUGUAGAUUUCUACAGUCAUGGUGUUUACUGUUCCAAUUGAAAACAUCACAGAUUUCCACAUAUAAGGAAUCUGAUUAUCAAACUCAUUUCUGUUCUCUCUGACCCCACACACACUCCAUCUAAACUAUCCUGCUCACAAAGACUGAUUUUCAUUCAGUUUUGUUUGUGUGCAUUGUUUUGAUGCCAAAAAAAUCUUUGGUGUCCUUACUUCAAUGAUUAUCCAUUGAUCCAGUCACACAAACACCCAUCUCUACAUGAGUCUUUUGAUGAGGCAUAUCAAGACCCUGUGUUCGCCCUCACUGGACCCUCUGCAGUUUGUUUAUCAUCACAACCACUCCACAGACAUCAUCACCUUCCUCCAUCUGGUCCUUAACCUCCUUGUCAAAAUGACACAUUUGUGCGAAUUCUAUUCAUAGCAUUAGUUCAGCAUUAAGUUCAAUCAUUACUCAACAUCUGACUGAAAAGCUGUGCCUGAACAAUUUCCUCUGCAGUUGGAUUUUAGAUUUCCUUAUUGGAAGACUUCAGUCAGUCCAAAUCAAAAAGCACCAUCACUAAACUACACCACAGUGAGCAUUGAGACCCCUCAGGGCUGUACACUCAGGUCACAUCUGUUCACUCUGCUCACUCAUAACUGUGCAGUUAUACACAGCUCAAACAACAUCAUCAAGCUCACCAAUGACACGACAGUGCUGGGUCUCAUCAGCAAGAACAAACUGUCAGCAUACAGAGAAGAGAGAAAACAGCUAAUAGCCUCAUAUAGAGCCAUCUGUCUCUGAACAUGGGCAAAACAAAAAACGAUGAUUGUUGACUUCAGGAAAGCAGAGUGGCCAUGCUCUGAUGAAGAUUUACUUGAAGAUCCUCCAUGAAGAUCAUCAAGAGCACCAAAUUCCUUGAUGUUCACCUAGCAGAGAAUCCCAUCUGAUUCUUCAACAUUAGCUCCACCAAGAACAAAGCUCUGCAGCAUUUCUACAUUUUGUAAAGUCUGAGGAAAGCCCAUCUCCCACCCCUAUCAUUAUCAUGUUUUACUGGCUGACUAAUGAGAGUUUACUGAGCAGCUGCAUCACUGCAUGUUCUGCAAAGUCCCUGCAGUAGAUAGUGAGGGCAGCUGAGAAGAUCAUCAGCAGUCUCAUUUACACCACAUGCUGCAUCUGCAAGGCCAACAGCAUUGUGGAGGACCCCACACACACCUCACACACACUCUACACACUCCUGUUGUCUGUAAAAAGGUACCGAAGCGUUCAGGUCUUCACAACCAGACUAUGUAACAGUUUCUUCCCUUUACACCUUUACACUCAGUCUGCAAUCGUUGCACAUUAUUUUUUUCUACAUUCUUUGGGAUCCUGCUACAAAAAAAAGAACUUUUCACACACCAUCAGAUGUCAUACUGAUCAGUGCUAUCUUCAUGUAUCUGUCUUGUUAUCUGUCUGUCAUGACUUGCAUUGUAUAUUCCCACUCAACACGUGAGAUCAUGCGAUGAUCACAGUGACAUCACACAAUCCUCAUACUGUGAUCCUCAGCAUGUGUGUAAAGCGUGAGCUCAAUGUGAGUUCAUCUGAUCCUCAUACUGUGAUCCUCAGCAUGUGUGUAAAGCGUGAGCUCAAUGUGAGUUUAUCUGAUCCUCAUACUGUGAUCCUCAGCAUGUGUGUAAAGCAUGAGCUCAUUGUAAAUGCUUCACACUCCGGUCCAGUUGGUGGUUUUAAAUGCACCAUCUAAGCUGGUCUUCCAACCACCAUAAAACAUUUAAAGAAGAAGAAAAAGUUGUGCAUGGGAUUGUUACACCGCAGAAAUGGUGAGUGGCCUAUUUACAUACUUUUAGAUGUGCAAUGUGGUCUGGUCUUUUUUUUUUUAGCAGAGUACUGCUCACACAUGCUACUGUACAUGUAUACCAGCCAUUUUACCUUCAGUAAUCACACCAAAACUGCUAGCUGCAGCUAGUUUGCCUAUCAGAAUUUGUGAAUUGUUAGGCCUGUUAUGUCAGAUCAUUACAACAUCACUAACUUUAUAUUUCAAUAUAUAAUAUUUUUUUUAUUUAUACUUAUAUUUCAAUAAUUAACAAGCGCUGUAAAACAACAGUAAGCAAGAAUGCUGCACUGGUGGAAUAGCGUAAACUAUCAUUGCUCUUUGGAUAAAAAGAUGAAGUACGCCUACUCUUAGACACUCAUAUUAAAGAUAAAAAGCCUUAUUUCACCACGCUAUAUGACUAGUUUUUUUUUAACAACAACUUCUAUCUGCGGAACUGGAGCUGAUUUAUGUUAAAAGCUUCAACGUCACUUCCCAUUUACCAAAACUCAAAGUGACUGACAUUCAUCCUCUUAUUAACAUAACAAGCAACUUUACCCAGAUAUCAGAGGCAACACCACAUCAUUAAGAAUGUAAAGUGUAGAUCUACAAAAGUGUAGUUUAAAGUAGUUUAUGAUACACACUUUCUUUACACAACAAUUGUCCAAAGAAGACUUCUUAAACAAUUAUCAAAUACAGUAAUCAGUGAGAGUGGCUAAGGUUGUCCUCUCAAACAAAAAUAAUUUGUAAAAGAUGUAUGUGUUUCAUAUAAUGUUUUACUAAUACAGAAGUUCUUUUUGGCCUGUUAGGAUUUGGAAACAAAAAUUAAGGCAUUGAAAAGACAGCAACAAAAAGUUCGUAGAAAAUCAAAAAAGAUCAUUUAGGCUCUACAGAAAAAAAAUGAAAACACUUCUGAUAGUGAACACUCCUCCAGAGAACUUGAAUCAGACUACUCAUCAGACGACUCAGGAAAUAUGCUGAAUGUUGUGGAGCAGCAUCUAAAUGAAGACUUGCAAGAACAGUAUGAUUCAGAAUCACAACAGAAUACCAUAAUUAAUAUGCAAGAUCAAGUGCUAUGGUAUGAAAUUGAUAGACUAAAUGAUUCCAUGGAUGUUACCAGUGAAAGUAACUCAGAGCUAGCUUUGUCUCUGGAGAAAAAGCUGUCUGAGUGGGCAAUGAAAUUCAACAUCUCCAUGACCUCUCUCACUCAUUUGCUUAAGAUUUUGAAGGAACACGACAUUGAUGUUCCAGCAGACGGACGAACACUAUUGAAAACACCUCGUUCUGGCAGUUUGAGAAUAACAGAAAAAUCAGGUGGCAAAUACACAUAUUUUGGAUUAAAGGAAGGUCUUACGCAUACUCUGUCUGAGCAAGACACUUCAAAAUACGACCACUUUGAGAUUUCUUUGAAUAUUGAUGGCCUUUAUUGAUGAAUAUUUCAAGUCCAAAAACCUCACAAUGUGGCCACUUCAGUGUGCUGUCAUCAACAUUGAUGAAGUGAAAAACAGUCCUUUUGUUGUUGCUCUGUUUUCUGGAGCAAAGAAACCAAAUGAUUUGGAGUUUUUGAGGGAUUUUAUGGAGGAGCUGCAAGAACUGAUGGAAACAGGCUUUAAAGGGAAGAGAAUUGUCCUCAAAAACAUCAUAUGUGAUGCACCAGCACGAGCCCUCAUCAAAGGAAUAGUUCAGUUUAAUGGCCGCUAUGGCUGUGACUUUUGUGAUGUAAAGGGAGUUCAUGAGAGCAAAAUGCUUUUUUUGUAUAAAGGAAAUCUCAGAACCAAUGAGUCAUUUAGACAGAAGACAAAUCCUGAACAUCACAAAACAGAUAGCAUUCUUUUGAAUCUGGACAUUGAUAUGAUCAGGCAGUUCCCAAUAGAUCCCAUGCAUUGUGUAGAUCGAGGAGUGACUAAGCGAAUGUUGAUGCUGUGGAAAGAAGGACCUUUGGCCCAUAGAUUAUCGGCUGGACAUCUUAGCACAAUUACUUAAUUUCAUCAAGCUGUCCGACAUUACAUACCUCCUGAAUUCAAUAGGAAACCCAGGGGGUUAGAUGAACUGAAGCACUGGAAAGCAACUGAAUUCCGAACAUUUUUGCUUUAUACUGGACCAGUGAUUUUGAAAUAUGUUCUCGAUAAGGAGAAGUAUAUUCACUUCCUUUCACUUAGUAUUGGAAUGCGCAUCUUGUACAGUGAAAACCUAAUGGAGCAUCGUGAUUAUGCAGAUGAGCUGUUAACAUAUUUUGUUGAAAAGGGUAGCAGCCUGUAUAGCAUGAGUUUCAUCUCAUAUAAUGUGCAUUGCUUGCUACAUCUCACUGAUGUUGCAAAUUACAACAGAUCAUUACACUAUUGUUCAGCGUACAAGUUUGAGAACAAUAUGGGUCAAAUCAAGAGGUUUAUCCGCGGUUCAAGUGAUCCACUGAUUCAAGUAGCUAACAGAUUGGCAGAGAGGCAAGCAAUAUCAAGUUCUAAGAAAUCAAAUGUUAACUCUGGUACGCCAAAGACAAAAGAAUGUUACAGAAUGACCAAUGAUAGCUACUGCCUUAUACAUGGAGUUCAAGAAAAUCUGAUUUUUUGUGAGGUUUUUUGCAGAAUGGAACCUUUGUACACUAAGCCAUGUGACUCCAGAAUAAUUGGCAUAUUCAAAGGAUUUCGGAAUCACACUAAAAUGUUACAUACUGACACCACUCGACUGGGACAUAAAGCAAUCAUGAUACCUUUGUCCUUGAUUGAUAAAGAUGAAUACAAUGCGGUAGCGCCUAUACCGCUCAUGCAUUCAGUUUGAUUAGUUAGUCAAGGAAGGAACCAAAGGAAACAAAAUGCAAAGUCACCAUGGAGAAAUUGUUUGAUCUGAAUACUAAGAUACUCCAACAAAUUCAAAUGCUGGAACAGAGACAAGCUGUCAUCAUGAAUGACUUGGCAAAAGUUAAGUCUGUUCUCAUGAAGCGGGCAGAAGAAGAUGCCCAUGAGGAACUUUUUAAACAACAACAGUGCUCCAGCUUUGAAACGUUUGAAGCCUUCUUAUCGAGAGCUUUAUGUACACUAUCUCAUCCAUACUCACGGCAGCUCCAGUAUAGGUGAGAUGGUGAGACAGGCUUUAAAAAGCAUAGCGUCAGACAAUGUUCUCUGUCUGUAUAACAGAACGGGGAAAGAUGGGAAGAAGGUGUUGCCACCUGUGCUCCUGACAUGUUUGAAAAAAUGUGUCAGGUCUUUUCACAAACAAAAUGAAAUAGAGGUGAAGAAGCUAAAAGUAACCACCAGAACAACACCAGACGCGGAAUGUAUUCGCCAAGUAGUAAUUUUUUGUCCAACGCCAACACCAGGCUGAAAAGGAAACCAAAUAAAGGAAAAAGCUGACUUUUUGUUUGUUUGUUUUUAUUGAUGGAAAUAAAGAAUGUGGGUGUAAAAGUUUGAGUUAACUGAAUUUUAGAUAACAGUGAACUAACACAAUUAUUGCAUAGUGGUGUUAUAUGGUGAUCUCACAGUAUGAGCACACAGUGACCACAGUAUGAGCACACAGUGACCACAGUAUGAGCACAUGGUGACCA